UGGAAGUUGUAUCUCAUCUUCUGCGUCGGAUUCUUCGUUAUCGUCCAGCACGGUGUUGAGGCAGGACGAGCGGGAAAGCAGCGGUACAAGACAAAAGCACCACCGCUUUUAAUUGUACACGCUGCGGUUUAAAUUCCUCGCACGGUAUCGCUGAGGGAAAAGUGCAUACGCGAGUGAAAAAAAAAUUGAUGGAUUUUUGAAGACAGAAACGGUGUUCCGUGAACUUGGUCAGCUCCACUGGUUUUCGCGUUUCUCGUGCCACACGCGGCGUUUAGGGGGUGCCGUCAUCUCCUUUCAAAGGAGACCGCCGCUCCGGAGCACUCGCGUUUAGUUGGCGCGUCGUUGCUGGCAUUGUCGUGACGCGAUUCGUCGAGCGUACAGUGGCCCGCAGCCAGUCAGAGCGGCUGGCGAAUGGUACGGAGUGGUGAGAGGCUACGAGCGAGGGGAAGAAAGUGCGGUCAGUUCUCGCACGGACUCCGUAACUUACGGAUCGCUCGCACGAGAGUCUCUCUGGUGAUUUUCAAGGAAGAAGACGAGAAGGACGAAUGAACGCACGCAUCGUGAAACGACGUGCGGGAGGACCAUACCGAUAGUAUAAUGAUCGCGAGUGGUGUCCCCCGUAUUCACACGUUGGUUGCCUUGUGAACAACACUCGCGAUUAGCGCCGCGCCGAAAGGAAGAUUUUGCAGCUGGUGAUACGAAGAUUAUCGUAACACGGAAUGGUCGUUCGGCUGACACGUUCGCGCGACCGUGUGAUGGAUUGAUCGCACGCCGGUGACCAAGAAACGCGCGCGCGCGCGCGUUUAGCGAUCCGUUCUUACGGAGGUGUCUUAGUAGUGAUCAUCGGUGACUUGCGGAAUUCGCGAUCGAUUUUCAUGUCAUCGCUUCGCGCGCAGAGGUGAAACGUUAAGAAAGUGAGCGGUGGUGAUCGUGGUUCGCGCGACGGGCUAUCCUAUCGGCAACCGAUUGACAUUCUCCGCGGCGUGCUCCGUUGAGUUUUCUUGACGUAGAACAGUACUAGAAAAGGGCAGCAAACUGUACGGGCACAGGCAGGAAGAGAUGCACACGAUGGAGACGGACAUGAAGGGCGGCAACCUGCACGCCCAGAUGCCACCGCAUCCGCACCAGGGUGUAUCGCCGAUGGGCCAUCACACGGGGAUGUCACCUUACGGAUCUCUAGGAUCGAUCGUUCACAGCUCCGCGCUAUCAGGCAGCCCGCCCAGCGCGGGCAGCUUAGGCCUUGGUCUUCAGCAUCAUCAUCAAACUCCUCAACAUCACUACCAUACAACAAGCAUGCAGGUGGCCGCCGCCGCCGCCGCUGCCGCUCAGCAGCAGCAACAACAGCAACAGACCAUGCACGCAAUGGCGGCCCAGCAGAGCGCUCAGCAACAGCAGCAUCAUCCUCAUCAGCAGCAACAGCAACAACAAUCGCAAACGCAGCACCACCAGGCCAACAAUCAUAGCAAUCCGAAUAAUCCUAACAAUCCUAGCAAUUCCUCCAACGCCAAGAAUAACAAUAUGGAUCGUGUGAAGAGGCCGAUGAAUGCCUUCAUGGUAUGGUCGCGUGGACAACGGCGCAAGAUGGCCCAAGAAAAUCCGAAGAUGCAUAAUUCCGAGAUAUCGAAACGCCUCGGGGCCGAGUGGAAGCUUCUUAGCGAGGCGGAGAAGCGCCCGUUCAUCGACGAGGCGAAACGGCUGCGCGCCGUGCAUAUGAAGGAGCACCCCGAUUACAAGUAUCGGCCGCGUCGCAAGACAAAGACUUUGAUAAAGAAAGACAAGUUCCAGUUGGGCGGAGGUGUUGCUGGCGUCGGCGGUAUGCUCGGCGUCGAUCAACGGCAAGUGGGCACCAGCGGCGGACCGCAGCAGCAAUUACCGCGCGAUGUAUAUCAGAUACCUCCUACCGGCUACAUGCCCAACGGUUAUAUGAUGCAUGCGUCGCAUGAUCCGGCGGCGUAUCAGCCACACGUCGCGUACAGCAAUCACAUGGGUGGUGCCGCAGCGGUCGCCGCUUCGGCGGCCGCGGCCUACCAGAGGUACGAUUCCAUGGGCCAUCACAUGGGCGGCAACAGUCCUAGCCCUAUCAACAGCUACAUGAACGGUUACGGCGGAUACGGCGGCACCGUGCCCGGCGGCUCACCGUCACCUUAUCACCAGGCUCAACCGGGUUCUCAGAUGUCCAGUCAUAGUCCUAGUGGCAGCAGCAUAAAGUCAGAGCCGACGAGCCCGGCGAGCGGCGGCGGCAUACACACGCCGACGCCGACGGGCGCGGCUGGUCCCGCUGGCCAGGUCGUGAAGCGGGAAUACAUAGGACAGCCGCAGACGAAUCAACAGAGCGAAGCACAGAUCAAGCAGAUGAUAUCGAUGUACCUGCCACAGGGAGUCGAGCAGGGAGUCGUGCAACACGGUGGCGGCGUCUACUCACCGGGUCCGUCGCCUGAUUCUUUGCAGCACCAUGCGGCUAUGCAGCCGAUUACACACAUGUCAGAUAGCGAUCGUAAAAUGUUGAACCCGGAAACCGGCUGCUACUCCGAAUCCGUACGAGCAUGGGAUUGGAACGCGACGGGCAACGUACGCGUGCAGGAAUCCUGGCCGACGUGAACGACUCUCGCCGCGACAAUGUCGAACCAUUCCACCACCGAAGGAUCAGGCUCCUUGAUUGUUUCGCGCGCUACGGUAUCAGUGGCUGGAGAAAGCGCAUUACGUGACGCUGAGACGUGACUCGGAAUCGUGAAGAAUAUUCUUAAAUGAAAAUUAGAACGAAACUACAUUUAUAUGUUGUUAGAGAUCAUGAGACUUCCAUGAUGCUUUUACGAAGCGCAUGGAUAAUUGUUAUUAUUAUAGCUACGUAUAAGAUCGCGCGCAAUUAUCGUUACUCAGCAUCGUCAAUUAUCAUUAUCGCAUCUGUGCAGUAAGUGCAGGCAUUUAAAUAAUUCAUGCCGCUCGCUUAAAAGCAUUUAAGCGCGCUGUUCUCUUUUUGGUAGAUCGGUAUGCAUAAAUAAGAGAAAGUUUCUAGAAAUACGAGAAUUCAAAUAACUCUAUGUCCUUCGUCAUAAAUCACAUUUACGUCUCAUAUAUAAACGCUAAUUGUAUAGUUCUAUCAAAUUUUACUAAUUUGCAAAUAU